GGCCGGCACGAGGCGGCCCUGGCGGCGGGACAGAAAAAUACCGACGGGUCGCCUAGCAGAUUGGGCAUCGGUGUAACAGUUUUUUUUUUAAAUUAGUCCUCAUCGACCAAGUCUGUCAAAAACAGAGAAGCUGUGGGUUUAUUUGAACAUUUUUAAGGCGCUCAAAGACUUUGUUUAUUUAAAGCACUUUGAGAUAUGCCAGAUUUAAGUAAAUGGAAACUUUAGCCGCCUCAGGAGCACUGAGCAAGAUUUGAGGUAAGCCAUUGUAACGUGUUGUCCGACUCUCCAGCCUGCUGGUAGAAUAUUCAAAGCAAAAACCCAACUGAAGUAAGCUACUCGCAUUGC
rnacentral:lncRNA from 1 species